rnacentral:rRNA from 1 species
UACAGAGGUCUCAAGCGUUUGUUCGGAUUCAUUGGGCGUAAAGGGUGCGUAGGCGGCGCGGUAAGUCGGGUGUGAAAUCUCAGGGGCUCAACCCUGAAAACUGCACUCGAUACUGGCUCUGCUUGAGGACUGGAGAGGAGACUGGAAUUCACGGUGUAGCAGUGGAAAUGCGUAGAUAUCGUGAGGAAGACCAGUGGCGAAGGCGGGUCUCUGGACAGUUCCGUGACGCUGAGGCGCGAAGGCCAGGGGA